rnacentral:rRNA from 1 species
GCUUGCUCCUUGGGUGACGAGUGGCGGACGGGUGAGUAAUGUCUGGGGAUCUGCCCGAUAGAGGGGGAUAACCACUGGAAACGGUGGCUAAUACCGCAUAACGUCGCAAGACCAAAGAGGGGGACCUUCGGGCCUCUCACUAUCGGAUGAACCCAGAUGGGAUUAGCUAGUAGGCGGGGUAAUGGCCCACCUAGGCGACGAUCCCUAGCUGGUCUGAGAGGAUGACCAGCCACACUGGAACUGAGACACGGUCCAGACUCCUACGGGAGGCAGCAGUGGGGAAUAUUGCACAAUGGGCGCAAGCCUGAUGCAGCCAUGCCGCGUGUAUGAAGAAGGCCUUCGGGUUGUAA